rnacentral:rRNA from 1 species
AUUGAACGCUGGCGGCAGGCUUAACACAUGCAAGUCGAGCGGGGUGAUGGUGCUUGCACUAUCACUUAGCGGCGGACGGGUGAGUAAUGCUUAGGAAUCUGCCUAUUAGUGGGGGACAACAUCUCGAAAGGGAUGCUAAUACCGCAUACGUCCUACGGGAGAAAGCAGGGGAGCACUUGUGACCUUGCGCUAAUAGAUGAGCCUAAGUCGGAUUAGCUAGUUGGUGGGGUAAAGGCCUACCAAGGCGACGAUCUGUAGCGGGUCUGAGAGGAUGAUCCGCCACACUGGGACUGAGACACGGCCCAGACUCCUACGGGAGGCAGCAGUGGGGAAUAUUGGACAAUGGGGGGAACCCUGAUCCAGCCACGCCGCGUGUGUGAAGAAGGCCUUAUGGUUGUAAAGCACUUUAAGCGAGGAGGAGGCUCUUUUGGUUAAUGCCCAAGAUGAGUGGACGUUACUCGCAGAAUAAGCACCGGCUAACUCUGUGCCAGCAGCCGCGGUAA